rnacentral:rRNA from 1 species
GGUGAACGCUGGCGGCGUGCCUAAUACAUGCAAGUCGAGCGAACAGACGAGGAGCUUGCUCCUCUGACGUUAGCGGCGGACGGGUGAGUAACACGUGGAUAACCUACCUAUAAGACUGGGAUAACUUCGGGAAACCGGAGCUAAUACCGGAUAAUAUAUUGAACCGCAUGGUUCAAUAGUGAAAGACGGUUUUGCUGUCACUUAUAGAUGGAUCCGCGCCGCAUUAGCUAGUUGGUAAGGUAACGGCUUACCAAGGCGACGAUGCGUAGCCGACCUGAGAGGGUGAUCGGCCACACUGGAACUGAGACACGGUCCAGACUCCUACGGGAGGCAGCAGUAGGGAAUCUUCCGCAAUGGGCGAAAGCCUGACGGAGCAACGCCGCGUGAGUGAUGAAGGUCUUCGGAUCGUAAAGCUCUGUUAUUAGGGAAGAACAAAUGUGUAAGUAACUAUGCACGUCUUGACGGUACCUAAUCAGAAAGCCACGGCUAACUACGUG